CCAGACUCCUACGGGAGGCAGCAGUGGGGAAUAUUGCACAAUGGGGGAAACCCUGAUGCAGCGACGCCGCGUGAGCGAUGAGGUAUUUCGGUAUGUAAAGCUCUAUCAGCAGGGAAGAAAAUGACGGUACCUGAAGAAGAAGCCCCGGCUGACUACGUGCCAGCAGCCGCGGUAAUACGUAGGGGGCAAGCGUUAUCCGGAUUUACUGGGUGUAAAGGGGGCGCAGACGGCGAUGCAAGCCAGGAGUGAAAGCCCGGGGCCCAACCCCGGGACUGCUCUUGGAACUGCGUGGCUGGAGUGCAGGAGGGGCAGGCGGAAUUCCUGGUGUAGCGGUGAAAUGCGUAGAUAUUAGGAGGAACACCAGUGGCGAAGGCGACUUUCUGGACUGUACCUGACGCUGAGGCGCGAAAGCGUGGGUAGCGAACGGGAUUAGAUACCCGAGUAC
rnacentral:rRNA from 1 species